rnacentral:tRNA from 1 species
GCCCGGGUGGUGGAAUGGCAGACACGAAGGUCUUAGAAGCCUUUGCCGUAAGGCGUGCAGGUUCGAGUCCUGUCCCGGGCACCA